AUUGAACGCUGGCGGCAUGCUUUACACAUGCAAGUCGGACGGUAACAGGCCUUCGGGCGCUGACGAGUGGCGAACGGGUGAGUAAUGCAUCGGAACGUGCCCAGUCGUGGGGGAUAACUAUCCGAAAGGAUAGCUAAUACCGCAUACGAUCUGCGGAUGAAAGCGGGGGACCUUCGGGCCUCGCGCGAUUGGAGCGGCCGAUGUCAGAUUAGGUAGUUGGUGGGGGAAAGGCUCACCAAGCCAACGAUCUGUAGCUGGUCUGAGAGGACGACCAACCACACUGGGCCUGAGACACGGCCCAGACGCCGACGGGAGGCAGCAGUGGGGAGUUGUGGACGAUGGGCGCAAGCCUGACCCAGCAAUGCCGCGUGCAGGAAGAAGGCCUUCGGGUUGUAAACUGCUUUUGUACGGAACGAAACGGCUCUGGUUAAUACCCGGGGCUAAUGACGGUACCGUAAGAAUAAGCACCGGCUAACUACGUGCCAGCAGCCGCCGUAA
rnacentral:rRNA from 1 species